GUUCCGUAGGUGAACCUGCGGAAGGAUCAUUAUUGAAUGAAACACUUCUGGCUUUAUGCUGUUGUGCUGGCCCUUUGGGCAAUGUGCACACGGCUCUGGUCACUUGUUUCUUCUGUUCCACCUGUGCACUGCCUGUAGACACGCUGUGUCUAUGAUAUUUGUUAACACACAACAAUGUUAGUUGGCAUGUUAUAUAUAAUAAUAAAAUAUACAACUUUCAACAACGGAUCUCUUGGCUCUC
rnacentral:misc_RNA from 1 species